rnacentral:tRNA from 1 species
GCAGUGGUGGUUCAGUGGUAGAAUUCUCACUUUUCAUGUGGGAGACCUGGGUUCUAUUCCAGCCAAAGCA